UGAACCUUGAUGAGACAACCGGUGGAGACCCAAAACUAAGUUGUGAAGAAUUAUGUGGCAUUCUUUGUGGCAUUCUUUGUAUUGAAGUUGAAAAGGGGCCCAAGAAUCACCACAGAGAUAGAUUACAGAGCUUAGACAGAAUAAUGACGGCUUGGAAUGCAAAACGAGAACUUGUAGUUUCGUUAAGGAUCUUGCAUGAAAUUUACGAUGGCAUGGUUGGAGUAUUCAUGCCCCCUGGUCAGGCAGUGCAGCCAAUUUUAGAAUUUCUGCAAAAUAUCGUUUUUGUCAAAACGGACAAAAAUGAUCAUGCCACAAUUUGUAUUGUGAAACUUAACGACGACUUCACCCAACUAGUAAAAGAUCUAGUUGAUCUAGAGACAAGCUCGUCAAUGGACACAUUCAGUGAACAUAUAGUUGACAUUGAUGAUGCUUUGAAAAAAGACCCAAACAAGAAAACUAAAGUGAAAGAAUUACACAUUAUAUUUCCGUGUUCAAGAUCCACUGGCAGAACCGUUCAUAGGAGAAACUUUGUGUGUUACCAGCUGAAGAGAGCCAACGAAUUAUAAUAGAGUGGCUGAUGGAUCUUGGUAGAUUACAGAUAUGAUGAAAUUAGUUGUGGCAAACUUCGUGCAUCAUUACUUAGAAUGACAGUCCACAGACAGACUUAUUGUGAAACAAUCAAGAUGUUCUCUUCUCAACAUAUGAUUGCGGUCUUGAACCUGGCAUAAAGUAUAGUAUUGUUAAAUGCAGAUGAUUACUGACAGAGUAGAAUAUUAAUUUCAACAACAAUGACAAAUAGCAGAUGAUGGUAGAAAACUUUUGUUAUGAAUUAGAAGUGAUGUAUAUAAAAGACACAGCUUGCAUGCAAGUUUAAUUUUAGUUAUUGUCAGAUAUAGCAUACACUAUGGAAUGGCACAUUAAUCAAAUUAAGAUGAAACACACAGGCUAACUGAAGAAAAGGAUACCGAUACGAUUUCCUUCUGUACUUUAUGACCAAGACCGACUUGUUUCCAAUUUUCUGCUAUUUCUUUGCUAUUUUAGGAUGGUUCUUGUCAGCAAAAAGUGUUUAAGUUAUUUAUCUACUAGUAUUAGACCUUUCUAACGUAAACGUAAUUACGAAACGGAAUACUGAAUCCGUAAAAUUUUAGACUAAUUUGUGGUCUAGGGGAGACAAUUUCAUCCAAUGGUAAUGCAAUAGUAUCUCCCUUAGACCAUUAUUUGCAAAUAACAUUUAUGGAUUCAGUAAUCUGUUUCCGAUUUACGUUUACGUUAGAAAUGUCUAUUUCAAUCAGUUUUCAUGAUGUACCCUGUCUGAAUCCACGUACUGUUUAUAGAACAAAGCGAAUGUAAAUUGCAAUGAAAUAUAUACUGAAAAGCUUUAAAGCGCAUUCUUUGUGAGGUUCUAUCAAAUAUUUUUGCGACUAUUUUAAGCAAAUUGUUUGAUGCCAAGAUAAACUUAUACAUAUUACGUACAAGUUGUCAUGUUUAGUUUUUAAUCAUUAAUGCUAGAUGAGAUAGCAAGAAAAUAUUGUUUUCCAUCUGCAGUAAAUUUGAUGCGAUACAUGUCAAUAUUUAACAACUGCCGGACCAGAAAAAAAUACUUUCAUUCUUUUAAGAUACAGACUAACUUUUAACUUUUAACUUUCAAGUUUAGAUGUUUACCAAAGAGAUUUUGUUAUGGCAGUCUCGUUUUCGAUUUGGAAAAUAAGGCUCAACUUUCUGGAAUUUUCAAAUGUUUAGUGAUAUUCCAUUGAGGCAGCACUGUAAGCUGGGCAUUGUGCUCACUGCUACAAGAACAUAUCAUAAUUGAAAUGACUGAAAAUUGUUGAAAAAGUCCCUAAACCCAAAAAAACACACAGACUGACUUGUGAAGAUGUACUAUGCCCCAACGAUUACGUGAUGUUUACAAACAUGGUUAUCAAUAGAUUUAAAUGAUGUGUUUCUACUUUUCAUCCCAAAUACAAAUUAGCUCACAGAUAAAACAAACUGUGUAUGCUCUACAAAGCUUUUACCGUAUGGGUUCAGCUACGACAGUUAAUUUCUUUUCAUUUUUGCAUUAAAAAAAAUCGAUUCCUUCAUUUUUCUAUCACAAAACGACAGAGAAAUAUUUGAAGCCAAUAUGACAAAUGAGAAAGUUCAGUGUCAUAUCAAAGAUGUUAUUAGUUAAAUGCAUAUACUAAAGCGAAUAAUGAACAUAAUAUUAUUAUGUUUUAUGUUAUAUAAGGACAAAUAUGCAAAUACAAGCAAUCAAUAUAAGAAACGAAAAAUACGGGAACAGAAAUGAAAGCGAUUAGGGCAAAAAGAUAUAUCAGAAAUCCUUAUGAUAAUUCGAACUCGUACAAAGCGACCUCCUGAUUUUCUGUUGUUAUCUGCAUAUUACCCGACUGGGCUAUUUUGCCGUAUACAAACUGGAGUUUAAAGGAAACGAAUACUGAUAUUUACAUGACAAGCAAUAUGACUUGUUUUUCCGUCAUAAUCUUGUUUUUCUAUUAUCACAAAAUGGACGCGUCCUCGCGUUUGCGCAGGAAUCACGUAAUCGUUGGGGAUUGGUAUGUCUUGAAAACUUUUUCCUUGACUUACUUUUAUUUACACUGUCCCGUGUCUUUGGAACAUGGUGGGGGUAAGAGUGAGGUUGGGUGCGCACCAUAAACCGGUUUAAGCUCCCCAGAGGUGCUUUUGCCACUGACCGUUCCAAGGCGGUACCCCACUGUGUUCCUUUGUUCGUUUUGUCCUCGUGUAUUGGCUUUGUGUGCGAGUAUCUGUGUGUGUAUGUGUUUGUGUUUGUGGUGUGCAGAUCUGCGUGCUGUGGGCUGUGGGUUUCGUUUUGGGGAGGCUGCGUUUUUGGUACGUGGCAUUCCCUGUUUGAUAUUUGUCUUUGUUUUUUUUUUCCAUAAGCAAAAUAAAAUCCAAUGCUACUUCAGACUGUAGUUACCCAGAGUUUAAAUUGUUACUGUACGUUUUAGUAUUUACACAAUUUGCAGGGAUGAACUGCAUGAAAUUGUAAUGUGGUUUAUAAAUAAUGGGCGAUUUCAUACAAAAUGUGCAGAUAAAGCACACAAUACAGGGAUAAAUAGGAACGGCAUAGUUUUACGAGACUUUAAAAACAGCCGCCUUUCCUUCAACAAAGGCAACAUUUUUAGUAAAUAUCAUGUACAUAGUAAAACGUUAUAUGUUAUUAUUGUUAUUAUUAUUAUUAUUAUUAUUAUUUAUUAUUUUAAUCACGCUAUAUAUUUCAUUAUGAUUCCUAUUCUGAUAUACUGACCAGUCACACGCAAUCAUUAAAUUGGUUUUAUGAUAGGUUUACUCUGAAAUUAUCUACAAAAUAAUGUUUAUUAUUGUUACAGUAGACCCUCCCUAAUCCGAACCUCUCUUAUCCGAUAACCUCACUAAACAGAACAAAUAAUGUGGUCCCGAUAUUUUUAUUCGUUUUGUAUUGUAGAAAUACCCCUGUAAUCCGAAACCUCUCUACUCGGAAAACCAAACACAUUUUUGAGAUUUUUGUAUCAAAAUUCCUUAAUAUUGACCCCUCUAAACAGAACUUUUGUUAUGAUUAUUAAUAUUUCUGAUGCCAAUCUUGCUCAUUUUUUUAACCCUUAAAAUAAGUUGGUAUUUUUAGCUUUUAAAAUUCUGUCACCCCAAACCGUUGUGAUCAUAAAUCAUGUCAGAUGCUUGCUUUCCAGAAGCAUGCAGUUAGCACAGGUGUGAAAGACGCAGGUAGUUUGUUUGAGCUGAAAUUUUAAGAAUAGAAAUAGUACUGUCCUUACUUUUUUUGAUUGUUCAUUUAAUCCUUCAAGUGGUUCCGAGGAGGCGUUACUCCUGAUUGUAUGGUCAUAGCAGUGCAUUUUGGAGAAAGAUUGCGAAUCAUGAUGUUAUAUUUCUUGUUUUGCUUCAUUAUAGAAUAUAAAAGCUAGCGACAAAGUCUACGUUAUUUUUAAACAGCCCUUAUAAAACUGGCCAAGGUCCUUCAGUUUAGUUCUAUUUGUGCAAUUCAUUAUUUUCUGUCUAUGUAGUAAAAGUUUUAAUUAAUUAUAUAUUCCUCAUCCCAUUUUUCAGAAGUUAAUAUUUCAUUUAUAGCAAAAAGUAUGUCGGGGCCUCAGUGUGUUGAAUAAAGAGGAUUUCAAUGUUUGUUGUCUAAACGUAUUUGAAAUGAUGACAGUUUCCAUAUAUUUUUAAUCGCAUAUUGUCCUUAAGUGUUUACCUAGCGCUUAAUAUUCUUCUUUUUAGGUUGUUUUCUUUUCGCAAUAAUUGUAUCCUGAAAAUGAUUGAUUCUAACAAAAAAAACCUACAUUGUCAGUGUGGCCAACCUACGUGUCUUCGAAAUCGUACACAUGGAGGGAAAUCAAUCUAUUCAGAUAACAUUUUUGCUUAUAAUUUCUUUAUAACCCGACAGAUUUUGAUACAAUAAAAAACGUCAAAAACAAAAAUAAUGCGUGCUGCUUUCCUAACCAUAAUGCGUCUGCCAGAAAUUCUUGAUACUUUUCUCAAACACUUUGCACAAAUGAGUUUUCAUUGACCACAUGUGUAGAUAACGCACACACUUGAAUUUGGGCAAGGUGUUUGAAGACAGUACUGAUAAAAUCUAGCAUAUGUUUUGUGCAAAGGAAAGCACUCGUUUUUCUGUAUACGACGCUUUUUUAUUUUGUACCAUAUCGAAUGUUCACGUGGGUUUGCAACCGUGGUAGUCAACAGUAAUAUAGAAAAUAUUGAGGAGAUCUAAAAUAAUACCCCUGGUUCACAACUUCAUUUCAAUGGGCAGCAUUGCUAUAAAGUUUCAUGACUCUACAUAGAAGAGGAUUUCUAUUGUUUGUUUCUGGGGUCAACAGGUCAGAGGUCACAUUGACCUUGAUACUGAAGAUGGUUUCUUAGUCAUAACCCAUAUGAAAAUAAUAUUUUAAAUAAAUACAACUGCAGCAAUAAAAUACUAAUUAGAAGUAUAGAUUUGCAGUGUUUAAUUGGUGCAGUAUUUAAUGCUGUACUCCAUAAGAUACUUUUAAGCAAAUGAGAAAGAGUAUAGAAUUGGUAUUGUAACGAAUAUAAUUUUGUCCGAAUAUUAUGACAUAUGGAAACCACUUCUAUACCUGAUACAUUUGGAAACUUAAGAUCUCUUACAUUAAUACUUUUAUAGUAAUUUAUAAGUACCUGCCAUCCUUUAAUCAUUCCAUGAUUACUAAAGACUUCCAAAUUAACUUAAUAUCCGCCAUCAUCUGGGUCCCGUAAUUCUGUUGCGAAAUCAUACGAAAUUAUUCCGAAGUUAAUCGAGUUAAGAUGGCUACAUUGUGACAUCAUAUGGAUAUAUCAUGUGACUCCCCUUGGUACAUAUUUGACAUCAUCUGGAAAUGUCACGUUCUGGUUUUUCUUAUAAAUAGCCCGGAUUAUCUAGGAUAUUCUUCAAUUGUAUUGUCGACUUUAGAGACGCUACCUCUAUCGACAACGACAAACAGAAAGUCUCCAUCUGGAGAGGUAGUAUCCAGAUCUUUUACAAAAACAUUUUUGCACGAUAAAUAAUGUCUUUAAAUGUCAUAAAUCUCUACAAUAAAACAUAUUAACAUGUAAACUACAUCAAAGAAGUAGGCAUUCCCCAUAACUGGAGCGGUUUCCGGAUAUAGCUGUAUAUGUAACCAUAGAUUCAUGUAUGUAUGUAUAACUACUAUGGAUGAUGUUUGUUACAAUGCUUUUGAUGUGAAUAAAUGUGAUGUUUGAAUGUAA